UACAGAGGUCCCGAGCGUUGUUCGGAAUUACUGGGCGUAAAGGGCGCGUAGGCGGCCUUCUAAGUCAGACGUGAAAUCCCCCGGCUUAACCUGGGAACUGCGUCUGAUACUGGGAGGCUUGAGUAUGGGAGAGGGAUGUAGAAUUCCAGGUGUAGCGGUGAAAUGCGUAGAUAUCUGGAGGAAUACCGGUGGCGAAGGCGGCAUCCUGGACCAUAACUGACGCUGAGGCGCGAAAGCUAGGGGAGCAAACGGGG
rnacentral:rRNA from 1 species